UUAUUUAUUUAUGUAUGGUAAGGAACAACGUGUCACAGGAGCUGUAAAUAGGUCAUAACAGAAUAUUCCUUGAACAAAAAAUAGACUGCUUGCAUAACCUUGACUAACUGCACUGCAGUUUUUUUAUUGAUAUUUUUCAAAAUGUACUUGCACGCUGACGUCAUAGUUUGCGAAUCUUGACGCGUUUUGGUAGCCGCGCGUUUCCGCCGCGUCCAGAACGUCAAACCCCCUACAGCUAAUUCACAAAAGACUCGCCGCCGUGCCGAGCGCUCUGAUUGGCUGAGGCCGGAGCAACAGGAAGCGGCGCCGGGCUCGCUGAUUGGCUGCCGUUCUCUUUGUGUGCGUGCAGCUGGCGUCUGGGCUGCAUUUUGAAUGGUCUCGUGUUGGAAGGCGAAGGUGUCCAUGGGCAGCACAGCAACAAAGGAGCCAGGAUGGUGUUAGUGCACGUCGGAUAUCUGGUUCUUCCCGUCUUCGGUUCGGUCAGAAGUAGAGAGCUCUGUUCCCUUCCAUUGUGUAUCUAACGAUCACCCGCCGCUGCUGUGCUAUAGCCUCUGCCUGCCCUGCAUCUAGCUGUGUUGUGACUCCCUCUUCUCAUUCCCUCUCUUUCCAUCUGAAGACGACAUUACAAACAAACUCUCACUCAUCCAGACUGCAGAAUAACACUCUCUCUUCUCUAGAAGAAUCCUCUUGUCUUCUUAUUUUUAAAUGGUCAUUGUUGCUUUGACGAAAAUAACAACUCAUUGUAGCAUUUAGCUUUUUUUAUGACUGUCAUUGUGAUUUGUUCCAUUCUCAGUGUGGAUAGACCAACAUUUUUGCUGUAAAUUUCUGUCAAGUGGAUGCAUUGGCCUCUCACUCGAUCAUAGCCGGGCUUGAUCGACCCCUAAACACUGUCUCUGUCUUGUCUUUUGGGAAGGUGUGCUGUGCCGGUGGGAUUCGCCAGAGAUUUGGAAACUCAGAAACUUACUAGAGAUGCUUGAUGUUAAUUUGUCUAAUUAUGUAUGUACAGUUGGGAUCGAUAAUCUCUCACUCGGUGACCCUUCGCUCUGUGGGUUCUGCCUCCCUAGGGUGACCCAUUAAUGAUUUAAUCUAAUUAAAUCUAUAUCAUCUUCCUUAAAGGAAUAGUUUGCAUAAAUUAAAUUCUUUCAGUGUUUACUCACCUUUAUGUCAUUCGAACACCAUAUGCUGUUAUUUGUUUUGUGGAAAACAUAAAAUGUUUAGAGGAUAUUAAUGGGGCUCCGGAAAGGACAAAAAAAACACACACAGUGAUGGUAGUUUAAACGGGUGUUAUUUUAGUAUCAUUUAUAUACUUCAUUCAUUUAUUUGUAAAUUUUUUGACAUUUUUCACAUAUUUUAAAUGGAUUUUUAGUUUAUAAAUAUAUAUAAUUUAUUAUUAUUAUUAUUAUUUUUAAAUAUUGCUAUUUACAUUUUUAUUUACCUCCACUUAGUAAUGUUAAUUGUUCAGCGUAAACUUAUUUCAGGCAACAUUUCUCAUUUUUUAUAGUUUAAAAUUUUCUUCUAAUAUUAAUAUUUUAUUUGAUUUCAGCUUCUCAACUAAGAAAAAUGUUUUUAAUAGUUUUAGGUAAUGUUAAUAACCCUGGUUUAAAUGACGCAUACACUAUAUUUCAGGUCUUCUGAUGUCUUACGAGUGAAAUUGAAGGUAUUAUUUACUUAUUUUCUUCGCUGCAGAAGCUCUGAAAUCUCAGCUGCAUUCAGUGGGUUUGAAGGCCAAAAUACAAGUGGUUCUUUUAUGGUACUAAAUAUAGCUAAAAAUAGCUGUUUAAGGAAAACGGUUGUAGCAUAGAUAUUAAAAGACUUGUUUUGAGUUGCAUGGAAAAAUGACAGCAUAUGUGUAUAGAAUGACACGAGAGUGAGUGACUUCAUAUAUAACGUCAGGUAUAUUAUGUUUUUUGUACAUCCAUUGUGCUAUUAUCUUUAAAGGACUGAGCUUUAUUAAUCCUUGAGUAACACAUGGAAACCAUAGAAAUGCUGCUAUUUCAAGACUGUUAUGGUUGACAUCAAGCACCUUUCAGAAGAGCAUACUGCUCAUAAAUGUCAAAUAUCUUUCUAUAUGGUAUGACAGUGUUAAAGUAAUAGUUCACCUAAAAAUUAAAAUUUGCUGAAAAUGUGUUCACCCUCAGGACAUCCAAGAUGUAGAUGAGUUUUUCUUCAUCAGAACAGGUUUGGAGAAAUGUAGCAU